GCCCGUUCGGGGAACCUGGAGACAGGUGCUGCAUGGCUGUCGUCAGCUCGUGUCGUGAGAUGUUGGGUUAAGUCCCGCAACGAGCGCAACCCUUGCCUUUAGUUGCCAGCAGUUCGGCUGGGCACUCUAAAGGGACUGCCGGUGUCAAACCGGAGGAAGGUGGGGAUGACGUCAAGUCCUCAUGGCCUUUAUGGCCAGGGCUACACACGUACUACAAUGGCCGGUACAAAGGGCAGCGACAUUGCGAGAUGGAGCGAAUCCCGAAAAGCCGGUCUCAGUCCGGAUUGGAGUCUGCAACUCGACUCCAUGAAGUUGGAAUCGCUAGUAAUCGUGAAUCAGAAUGUCACGGUCGAAUACGUUCCCGGGCCUU
rnacentral:rRNA from 1 species